rnacentral:rRNA from 1 species
GACGAACGCUGGCGGCGUGCUUAACACAUGCAAGUCGAACGGUAAGGCCCUUCGGGGUACACGAGUGGCGAACGGGUGAGUAACACGUGGGUGAUCUGCCCUGCACUUCGGGAUAAGCCUGGGAAACUGGGUCUAAUACCGGAUAGGACCACUGCCUGCAUGGGUGGUGGUGGAAAGCUUUUGCGUUGUGGGAUGGGCCCGCGGCCUAUCAGCUUGUUGGUGGGGUGAUGUCCUACCAAGGCGACGACGGUUAGCCGGCCUGAGCGGGUGACCGGCCACACUGGGACGGAGAUACGGCCCAGACUCCUACGGGAGGCAGCAGUGGGGAAUAUUGCACGAUGGGCGCAAGCCGGAUGCAGCGACGCCGCGGGAGGGAUGACGGCCUUCGGGUUGUAAACCUCUUUCAGCACCGACGAAGCGCAAGUGACGGUAGGUGCAGAAGAAGGACCGGCCAACUACGUGCCAGCCGCCGCCGUAA